AUCUGGAGCGAGGAGAUCUGUGCCAUGGAAAAAGGCAAAACACCUUUUAGUAAAACCUGAGAAGAGCAGCUGUUAGUUGUAACCUUGAGGGAGAACAAUGCCGUGGAGACUUGCUGCUCGCUGACGUGGAUGCAGUCGUGCUGCCAGUUGAGUCAUGAGUGUUGGGGUCUGUGUGAUGGAGGAUGAAAACGCUGCGCGCCUCGCCCUGCACUGUCACCCUCUCCCUCAGUAUCCUCUCCAUCUCUGCCUCUGCGUUCAGGCGGAGAGGGUUUUACUUGGCAGUGGCGUUUGUGGGGGAGGAGACUGCCACAACAGGGAUGUGGGCACACAGAGCAGCUUUAAUUAGAUGGGGCCUCAUGCCGUGUGCCACUACUGCUUGUGUGAGAAGGAGUGUGUUGCAGCUUUGUCUAGCUUUCGAAGAUGGAUUUUUGUGUGUUUACUUCAAUUUUUGGAUAGUUAAGGGGGGGACAAUGAAAGUGGGGUUUUCUUAAUUUUUCUCGUUUUAUGUAUGUGCAUGUGCAUCUUAAUACCCCGGCCUUGGCACCAGUGUGGACUGCUUUACCAUCAGAUAAUGUAAAUGAAGACAAACUGGCUUCCUUUGUAGUCAAACAGCCAGGAUCUUCUUUUAAUUCAAAAAUGCAUUUGGGUCAUGGCGGGGGGUGGCGUUUGAAGACAUCAGCCUCCUACGGAGAGAGUCAGCGGGCAAAGCGGGUACGCUACAGGGAUGGACGCCAGGCGUCAGGAGGGAAGGCUGGCGCCGCGGGUUUGGACUGGUUUGCCAACUUUUAGAUUUUUUUUCUUCUUUUUUUGGAGGGGUUUAUCUUGCCAAUCAUUUUUCCUGUGGAGUUUCGAAAACACAGCCAUUACUCAUAGGACAAUCAAACCUAUUAGCAGACAAAGGGUGGAACCUGAUUGGUUAUCGUGGCACUAGGCGGGGUAACUGUGGCAUCAGAAAAUGAAGGGCCGGGUUAUUUAGAGGUUCCUUUGUAUUUGGAAAGGAAGACUUCAACAGUAAUCAGUUUAUUCUGUAAAUUUUAUUGAUGCUACAAUUAAAGAAAGUGGUGAUCUUGAUGGAUUAUAUUUGUGAUUCUUUCUCUCUAUAGGUCAUAACUUGGCCCAUGUUUCUUUACCUGCUGUUUAAGAAGAUGGGAAGCCUUCGGGGUUGAUUGUUAUCUUUGGUUAUCUAGCUGUAUGAGUGAUGUACAUUCUUCAUAAAGCUAGAUAACCGAAAGUAACAAGAAUCCCAUUACACUCCUGUAAAGGCAUCGUGACGUCUCCCUCUGCAAAAUCGGCAAAAAUGAAAGACAAGAAUGGACAAAAGUCAAAAGAAGAUGGGAUCAAGAAGCAGUUAUAGGGCAUCACACCGGUAAUGGAAAACUGGCAAAAAAAAAAAAAAAAAAAAAAAUGGACAGAAAAACAGAAAAGAAGGAGGAGGAGGGGUUGCUGUUGAUUCUGCCCUCCCUUUCUCCUCGCCCUUCGCUGCAUCGCCUCUUCCCUCCUCCACUCCAUCCUGAGUAGGCUGCCCCUUUUUCCUGUACAGCGAAAUACAGCCCGCUCCACCAUCUUAGAGAAACACUGGCAUGAAAUGGAAGUGGGAAGACCAGUGAGUGCAGAUAAAUGUUGGCAUUCCGGACGGCGGGGGGAGGAGGACUCCAGAAUGGACAGAGCACACAAUCGGCGGACAGCAAGACUUCUUUGUCGCCUUUCAGCGGGGGAAAACAAGUAUGAAAGCGCUGCUGUCUGCACACAAGUCACCGGGGAUCCCUCCCUCGGCUGUGGGAGACUGUGCAUUAUUUGACACAACAGUCAACCUGGGCUGUUUGUGAACACCUCCUGGUGUUUUAACUGAGUAAACAUCUUUCUGGAUUGCAGGAACAUGUGGUCUUGUGCAGAUGAUGAGCAGCUCGAUCAUUUUUUUUUGCAACAUCCCUGCAUAUGCAAUAAAACAAAGCUAGUGCAUAGGCUCCGCUUACUGUAGGUUUUAUUGGAUUUAAGUUGUAGCCCAAGUUUGGUUCCAUUUUGUUUUGUUCUAGUUGCUAGGAUUCAAAAGACACGUGAAUGUGAGACUCACGACAGCAGCGAAUAAUACUGCACUGCGAUUGGACAGCUCCGUGUGUCAGAUGACACAAUGGCGAAGGAGUGAGCUGUCGUCUUUAUACUCUAUGCAACUGUUCUGUAGACCGACUUUCUUAUCCCCUCUGUUAUUUUCAGUCUUGCUUUGGGUUUGUAAUUGUAAUUUUUUUCUUUUUUCUAGAAAUUUCUCCCUUUUUAUUUUCUUUUCUUGCUGGAGCCUACUUUACCAAGGUACAGAAAAUCCCAAUUUGCGUGUGUAACUGAACGUCACAUUCGCAGCUCUUUGAUUUAUCAAGACGGAGUAAACGUUUAGACAGGAGUGUGUUUGGUAGACAUAUAUCCCACGCUAUUGAAACCUGUUACCCAGCAGGCUUUGAGAAUCUGCAGUUCACUACAGUUACCUGCUUUGCUGCAAUGAUACAUCUCUGGAUGAGACAUGACAAAUACAUUAGCUUCAAACACUGCCUUAAUAUCCUGUUCUUGACAUUAACACACACACUCACAGACACACAUAUAUGCAUCAAAGCUUGUAUUAUCGCAGGCUAAUUUAUUCUGUAUUAAUUUUUGUGAAGUGCCAUUUUUUAUUACAAUUGAUAAUCUAUGCAAAUCUUUCAAAUAUUCCUUUAAACAAUCUAUGCAGUGUCUUUGCAAUUGAUUCAAAGCAGACUAUUUUAGCUUAAUUUAAAAAAAAUGUAUUCUUUUGAUAAUCAUGCAGUGCUCGAGACAAUUACUUAUCUGCCUGGAUAAGCUUGAAAUUGUGUUUUUAAUCUCUGGCAAAAAGAGAGUCACUCGUUUGUAAUCAGUCCAGAGGCAUGAAAACCAUGAAUUCUGUUAGGAAACAAUUAAAUCUGUUGCAAAUUAUUUUUUUUUCAACUCUGUAUGUAUAAAAAAAUUAUAUGUGUAUAUUCAUACUUGUGUUAUUUUGUAUAUUUGUAACAUUAUUUAUGCUAUGCAAUGUCACUGUCGGGAAUGUGCUCACCACAUGUGCCUUUUAUGCAAAAUUUUGUUGGAAUGUGAAUAAAAGUUUACACUGAAAACAAUGCAAA